CCAUUCAACAGAAUUACCGAACAUCGACAACCAAUUUCCAAAGGCACAUAGAUUGCCGCAAUCCACCAAAAUCAAAUUUACAAUUCACAAAUAAAAUUGAAAAGUCUCGAAACCCACACCUGAUUUGCGACCAAAGACGCCUGUAAUAUCCAAUUUUUGCCUGGGCCCAACUAAACCUAAAGCCUAGGUUACAUCAAACCCAAACCCAUUAGCCUAAAACUAGACCUAACCCUAAUGGCCCAAACCCAUAAUAGUCAAAGAAAUCUUAAGCAGAUUGAAGCAAAUCGGCGCCGCAGCAACUGCCUACGUCGCAGCAACCGUCACCACCCAUGUUCAUCAUGUUCGCACGUUCAGCAGCCUUGCAGUGCCUGUUUCCAUGUACCUGUAACAAAUAAACCACGAGCAUCACUAAUAGGAUAGAUACAGCAAAUUGUAAAGAAGUUUUGGCUAUAAAAAGCCAAUGGAUUUCUGUAAUAGGGGUUAGCAAAAAUAUUAUAUGAAAAAACAUUAAAGAAAAUACGAAAAUAAGGAAUCAAAAAGGUAAAUUUUUGAAGGUAUUUGUUCUCUUCCUUUUCUUUCUUUUAUUUUUUUCCUUUUUCAUUUUCUAUCUUGUUUCUUAAAACAAAAGCGGAAAAGGGAAGUAGAGGAGGACUUACCGUCGCAUGCGGCGUUGAGGGAUCUUCAUUCCGUCGUUGGAGUGAGAGGAAUACAGAGCGGCAAUGGGAAAGGGAGGCUGCGGCAAACACAAAAAUUACAGAGAAAGGGAGU
rnacentral:lncRNA from 1 species